CGUGUAGGCGGUGUUGUGUGUCUGGUGUGAAAGCCCUCGGCUCAACCGAGGAAGUGCAUCAGAAACUACAACGCUAGAGUGUGAGAGAGGUUAGCGGAAUUCCGAGUGUAGAGGUGAAAUUCGUAGAUAUUCGGAGGAACACCAGAGGCGAAGGCGGCUAACUGGCUCACAACUGACGCUGAGACGCGAAAGCGUGGGGAGCAAACA
rnacentral:rRNA from 1 species